rnacentral:lncRNA from 1 species
CUUGAAAAUUCUUGAAUAUGCAGUUGGCUUACAAGAUUGUGGGUUCCCGAAAUUUCCAGUGCAACAAUAUCUUGGUGAAUUGAAUGCAGAACAAGCACUCUUGCAAGCUACCACUCUCUUCUUGUCGUGAGAUCGAACCUGAAGCCCCGCCGGACACAUCAUGUUCAGGUCACUCACGCACCCGGCAUAGCUACAUUUCCCUGCCAGUACAUAUAUAUUCUCUCAAUUUCAGCUUUCGAAACAAAUUUAACAUUAGAAAUAUCAAUACUAUACCUGAGCCUCGGAAGGGUCUGAUGGCAAUAGCAAGAUUGUACCCAUCAACAAGGCUGACAUCGUAGAAAUCCUGGUCAUUGCCAAGUGUGAUCUCAGCAAGGGUGGCUGGAGGGGCCCCGCCAAUACCAUUACAGAAGAGAGCACCACCACAAUCCCCGGUGGCGCAGCGGCCGCGCCCCGUGGCAUCAAAAGAACAGCCGUGGCGGCCCCAGAUGCGGCCAUGUCGUGAGAUCGAACCUGAAGCCCCGCCGGACACAUCAUGUUCAGGUCACUCACGCACCCGGCAUAGCUACAUUUCCCUGCCAGUACGUAUAUAUUCUCUCAAAUUCAAUUUUCGAAACAAAUUAAACAUUAGAAAGAUCGAUACUAUACCUGAGCCUCGGAAGGGUCUGAUGGCAAUAGCAAGAUUGUACCCAUCAACAAGGCUGACAUCGUAGAAAUCCUGGUCAUUACCAAGUGUGAUCUCAGCAAGGGUGGCUGGAGGGGCCCCGCCAAUACCAUUACAGAAGAGAGCACCACCACAAUCCCCGGUGGCGCAGCGGCCGCGCCCUGUGGCAUCGAAAGAACAGCCGUGGCGGCCCCAGAUGCGGCCGGACCAUGCGGUGGGGAGUUGGAGAGUAUAAGCCUUGUUUGGUGGCAGCUUGAAGCCACCACGGGCAAGAAUGGGCUUACCAGCACUAGGUUGGAUGCCUGGCCAAACAGGGUGUCUGCACUUGUUGUACAGUGUCAUUUUUGUGGCUGAGACCUCUACUGGAUUGUGCCAUUUUCAGCACAAGAAGAAAUUCACAAUAAGUUAUUCAAACGUAUUUAAAAAACAAAAAGUUACAUAAUACUAUUUUUAAGCUCACAAAUAAAAAAAAUUGUUACACGUGAGUCGUUUACUGAUAAGUUGGAUAAUAUAAACUGAAUCUGAUCUGAUCUACACUUAAUGAGGCGUGUUGAUGACAAAAUUUAAAGUAACUAUAAUCUGAUCUGCACGUGACUUGGCAUCUCAUAGACGAGAUUUAAGUAAAUACAUUUGACCCUUUUCUAAAGCCUUAAGCUUUUGUUAUUGGUCAUCAGCAUUGAAACAUUCACAAAAGAGGAAAUAAACUACAAUGUAGAAAGAAGAAGAUUACCUGAAAUCUGGACAAUGAUGAAGGAGAGUAGUAGCAAAGAAAUAAAAGGUCUGAGAAGGAUUUCCAUGGCUGAAAAACUUCAAGUUGAUGAGGAGAACACUCAAUUUAUUUCCCUCUGUGUAGUGAGUUUGAUGGGCUUUUAUAGAUAAAAAUCCAAUAGGGUUACUACUUACUGGACUUUCUCGUCAAUUGGUAAAGUUAACUCGUUCGUACUACAGUGAAUAAAUACGGCUGGCAAGUGGGCCUUAUCAAAUGAAUGAUGUUCAUGUAUAUUCUUAUGAAUCAUUAACUUAUAUGUACAAUAUUUGUAGACAUUAAUGUUAGUAGACAAUAUUCUACUUGACAUUAUUAUAUGACUAAUUCUAUUUAAUUUCGUUGGAGUUAUAAUUUCAGUUUAAGUGAGCAUUAAAUGAUAUGCAAAAUUAAAUAAGUCAUUUAAUUUCACAUUUCAUUCAACAUAUUAUCUAGCGCCACCUAGACUGAGUUGUAACCCCAGUGAGACUGCAUAACAUUAUUCUUAUCGUAUUUAUCCAUUUAAAAAUUAAUUAUUUUUUACAUCACAUGCUUGAAUUUUGACACUAGCUUUAUUCUAUUUUUCUUUCUUAUCCCAACUUAGAGGUUAUAAUCCGGGACUUUGAACCAACUCGCCUGCCUUCAGUGUUUUUUCCCUUUUUUUUUGGUGAAGUACAGGCCGGCAUGAACCAUGAACUCGACACAACCCAGGUGCCUGCCAGACAUUUACCGGCAUUAAACAGAAUCGUUUGAUUAAUUUUUUUUUUAAAAUUGGUAAUUGGUAAUUUUGAAUGACUCGACUCGUUGGACUCAAGGACUACUCAGCUCAUGAGGCCACAGGCCAAGGACCAAUCGAUCCGAAGAUUUGGAUAAGAGCUCGGCUCCACAUUCAUUAUCACUCUAAUGUCACAUAAAUUAAAUAGCAUUACUCCAAUUUUACUACUACUAUUAUGAAGUACAAAUAUGUAAUCACAACCAAUAAGUAACGAAAAUCAUUAAAUGUUCAGAUAUUAAUACAGUAUACAGCGAUCCAUAAUGCUAAUUAAUUAGAUAGAGGAUUUUCUAGUGAUGAGGACAAAAUGUGACCAAAUAGCUUCCGCCAGUGCAAGUGGCAAUGCUGGUAGGAUCAUCAUAGGCAUAAGAAUAAGCCUUGGGACAAGCCGUCUUGAAAAUUCUUGAAUAUGCAGUUGGCUUACAAGAUUGUGGGUUCCCGAAAUUUCCAGUGCAACAAUAUCUUGGUGAAUUGAAUGCAGAACAAGCACUCUUGCAAGCUACCACUCUCUUCUUGUCGUGAGAUCGAACCUGAAGCCCCGCCGGACACAUCAUGUUCAGGUCACUCACGCACCCGGCAUAGCUACAUUUCCC